rnacentral:rRNA from 1 species
GACGAGCCACACGAACGUUAUUCGGAAUUACUGGGCUUAAAGGGUGCGUAGGCGGCGCGGAAAGUUGGGUGUGAAAUCCCUCGGCUCAACCGAGGAACUGCGCCCAAAACUACCGUGCUCGAGGAAGAUAGAGGUGAGCGGAACUUACGGUGGAGCGGUGAAAUGCGUUGAUAUCGUAAGGAACACCCGUGGCGAAAGCGGCUCACUGGGUCUUCUCUGACGCUGAUGCACGAAAGCUAGGGGAGCAAACAGG